CCGCCAGGUUGUCACCGCCAGGUUGUCACCGCCAGGUUGUCACCAUACAGACACCGCCAUCUUGUCACUGCCACGUCGUCACCAUACAGACACCGCCACAUUGUCACCACCAUAUUGACACCAGACACCACCACAUUGUCACCGCCACCUUGUCACCAUACAGACACCGCCACGUUGUCACCACCAUAUUGACACCAGACACCACCACAUUGUCACCGCCACCUUGUCACCAUACAGACACCGCCACGUUGUCACCGUCACCUUGUCACCAUCUUGUCACCGCCACGUUGUCACCAUACAGACACCGCCAUGUUGUCACCGCCAUCUUGUCACUCCCGUUUCAGGGCCGGGGGCCGUUGGCAGCGCCGCCAGCGGCGGUAGUUGAGGAAGAGGAGCGCGGCGUUGACCGCGUAGGUGCUGAGGCAGACGAGGCAGAGGUCGCGGAGGCCGAAGGCCAACACCAGCGCCAGGUACAGCGAGGCCACCACCGACGUCACCGACGUCACCA
rnacentral:lncRNA from 1 species